GACGAACGCUGGCGGCGUGCUUAACACAUGCAAGUCGAACGGAAAGGCCCUGCUUUUGUGGGGUGCUCGAGUGGCGAACGGGUGAGUAACACGUGAGUAACCUGCCCUUGACUUUGGGAUAACUUCAGGAAACUGGGGCUAAUACCGGAUAGGAGCUCCUGCUGCAUGGUGGGGGUUGGAAAGUUUCGGCGGUUGGGGAUGGACUCGCGGCUUAUCAGCUUGUUGGUGGGGUAGUGGCUUACCAAGGCUUUGACGGGUAGCCGGCCUGAGAGGGUGACCGGCCACAUUGGGACUGAGAUACGGCCCAGACGCCUACGGGAGGCAGCAGUGGGGAAUAUGGCACAGUGGGCGGAAGCCUGAUGCAGCAACGCCGCGUGCGGGAUGACGGCCUUCGGGUUGUAAACCGCUUUCGCCUGUGACGAAGCGUGAGUGACGGUAAUGGGUAAAGAAGCACCGGCUAACUACGUG
rnacentral:rRNA from 1 species